AGGAUAUUUAUAUGCUUAUAUGAGCAGAUAUUCUUACUGGCAGGUUGUAAUUACGAUUUUAUAUUUGCUAUUUAUUUCUUUGUUUUUUGGCUCUGGAACGGCAUAAUGAGAGGCUUGUGAUGAGAGGCUUGCGAGAUUGGCAGGGAAAACAUCUUCAAUCUUUCCCGUCUUCCAUGUCUGUGGUGGCGUCUUGUUCUCUGCCACAAGAACGACAUCUCCCACCUUUAGCACCCCUGCUGUAGCGUUUACACAAUGGUUUCUCAAUUCUGAGCAGCUGGCUGAGGGUU